UUAUCAGAGAGUUUGAUCCUGGCUCAGGAUGAACGCUGGCGGCGUGCUUAACACAUGCAAGUCGAACGGAGAUUGAUUUAACAGAGACUUCGGUUGAAGUUGUUUUGAUCUUAGUGGCGGACGGGUGAGUAACGCGUGGGU
rnacentral:rRNA from 1 species